rnacentral:rRNA from 1 species
GACGAACCGUGCUACCGUUAUUCGGAAUCACUGGGCUUAAAGGGCGCGUAGGCGGGCAGGCAAGUCGAAGGUGAAAUCCCACGGCUCAACCGUGGAAGUGCCCCCGAUACUGCCUGUCUGGAGGGAGAUAGGGGCGUGCGGAACUUCCGGUGGAGCGGUGAAAUGCGUAGAUAUCGGAAGGAACACCGGUGGCGAAAGCGGCGCGCUGGAUCUCUUCUGACGCUGAGGCGCGAAGGCCAGGGGAGCAAACGGG